rnacentral:piRNA from 1 species
AGGGUCAUUGCGGUAGAGCUAGC